AUUUGGGGUUGCCAGUCGCCCACACCAAUGAGAACUUUGGGGAAUUUUUUCACACCUCAAUUACCUGUGAGAUUUUUUGAGCAAGGUGUUGUGGCAAAGCUUUCUAUGUGUUUAGGAUUAUGCGUGACAGGUUCAAAAACAUCUCUUUACCCCAAAAAGCCAUGGCAGAAUUAUUUAUAAUUAAUUUUGACACUUCCAAAUGCUUGAUUAUCUAUGUGCAGAUACUAUUUCAUUGCUGUUUAUCAGUA